GAUGAACGCUGACAGAAUGCUUAACACAUGCAAGUCGAUGGGGAAGUGGUGCUUGCCCCAUGGCAACCAUGGCGGACGGGUGAGUAACGCGUAAGGGACUUACCUGCAGGACUGGGAUAACAGGGGGAAACUCCUGACAAGACCGGAUAAUGUCAUGGAGCUGCAUGGCUUUAUGAUGAAAGGAGACGCCUGCGGAGAGCCUUGCGUCCUAUUAGCUAGUUGGUGAGGUAAUGGCUCACCAAGGCGAAGAUAGGUAGCCGGCCUGAGAGGGUGGACGGCCACAAGGGGACUGAGAUACGGCCCUUACUCCUACGGGAGGCAGCAGUGGGGAAUAGUGGACAAUGGGGGCAACCCUGAUCCAGCAAUUCUGUGUGCACGAAGAAGGUUUUCGGAUUGUAAAGUGCUUUCAGCAGGGAAGAAGUAAGUGACGGUACCUGCAGAAGAAGCGACGGCUAAAUACGUG
rnacentral:rRNA from 1 species